rnacentral:rRNA from 1 species
AUGCCUUGCUGCUGCUUCUUCUUUCCACUGUCGCCGGAAUCUUUAGGGGAGGGGGAGGAAGAGGUGUUCUUGGGAAGCACCUUGACAUCCGAAGGCCCACAGCAGAAUCCCAUGGCUGCAGCUAGGCAGAGCUAUUGCGCAAUUUUUGCCUUCUCACUUUUCGCUCCCAGCUCGCUAUAUUGUUCGGCUUAUGAAAACCUGGGCUGUUCUCUGCUGCUGAUCCGUGUGUGGGUUUCUGUUGGAAAAGCAGGAGCUACUGGCGACCAUUUUAUAGGGGAGGAGAGUGGCUCUACGCAAUUGGCAUGGUCCAAACUUCCAGCAGAAGAUUGCUACACUCUCUGA